rnacentral:rRNA from 1 species
UAGGGAAUCUUCCACAAUGGGCGCAAGCCUGAUGGAGCAACACCGCGUGAGUGAAGAAGGGUUUCGGCUCGUAAAACUCUGUUGUUAAAGAAGAACACGUAUGAGAGUAACUGUUCAUACGUUGACGGUAUUUAACCAGAAAGUCACGGCUAACUACGUGUCAG